rnacentral:rRNA from 1 species
UAGGGAAUCUUCCACAAUGGGCGAAAGCCUGAUGGAGCAACGCCGCGUGGGGUGAAGAAGGUCUUCGGAUCGUAAAACCCUGUUGUUAGAGAAGAAAGUGCGUGAGAGUAACUGUUCACGUUUCGACGGUAUCUAACCAGAAAGCCACGGCUAACUACGUGCC